rnacentral:rRNA from 1 species
UGGGGAAUAUUGGGCAAUGGGCGAAAGCCUGACCCAGCAACGCCGCGUGAAGGAAGAAGGUUUUCGGAUUGUAAACUUCUGUUGUGAGGGACGAAGGACGUGACGGUACCUCAUGAGGAAGCCCCGGCUAACUACGUGCCAGCAGCCGCGGUAAUACGUAGGGGGCAAGCGUUGUCCGGAAUUACUGGGCGUAAAGGGAGCGUAGGCGGCUUAUUAAGUCAGAUGUGAAAUCCCCGGGCUUAACCUGGGAGGUGCAUCUGAAACUGGUGAGCUUGAGUGCGGGAGAGGCAAGUGGAAUUCCUAGUGUAGCGGUGGAAUGCGUAGAUAUUAGGAGGAACACCGGUGGCGAAGGCGGCUUGCUGGACCGUAACUGACGCUGAGGCUCGAAAGCGUGGGGAGCAAACA